GAUGAACGCUGGCGGCGUGCCUAAUACAUGCAAGUCGAACGCUGAAGGAGGAGCUUGCUCUUCUGGAUGAGUUGCGAACGGGUGAGUAACGCGUAGGUAACCUGCCUGGUAGCGGGGGAUAACUAUUGGAAACGAUAGCUAAUACCGCAUGACAACAGUUAUUGCAUGAUAACUGUUUAAAAGGGGCAACUGCUCCACUACCAGAUGGACCUGCGUUGUAUUAGCUAGUUGGUGAGGUAACGGCUCACCAAGGCGACGAUACAUAGCCGACCUGAGAGGGUGAGAGGCAACGCUGGGACGAGGACACGGCCCAGACUCCUGCGAGAGGCAGCAGUAGGGAAUCCUCGGCAAUGGACGGAAGGCUGACCGAGCAACGCCGCGUGAGUGAAGAAGGUUUUCGGGUCGUAAAGCUCUGUUGUAAGAGAAGAACGAGUGGGAGAGUGGAAAGUGCACACCGUGACGGUAUCUGACCAGAAAGGGACGGCUAACUACGUG
rnacentral:rRNA from 1 species